AGCCAUGCAUGCCCGCGCACCCGGGAGGCGGCGGACGGCUCAGGACAACGGUUGCACCCCCCGCGGCGGUCCCUGCUAGCCGGACACCGCUGGCAACCCGGCGCCAAGACGUGCGCGCAAGGGCGGGCGCCCGCGGGCGAGCAGUGUGACGCAGCGACGGCCCGCCCGGGCUUCCGGGGCAUCACCCGGUCGGCGCGGUCGCGGCGCGCCGAGGGCCCGACGCCUGGCGGAGAAUAGGGGUCGACUA
rnacentral:rRNA from 1 species